UACAGGGGGUGCAAACGUUGCUCGGAAUUAUUGGGCGUAAAGCGCGCGUAGGCGGCUACCUAAGUCGGAUGUGAAAGCCCCUGGCUUAACUGGGGAAGUGCACCCGAAACUGAGUAGCUAGAGUGCGAAAGAGGGUCGCGGAAUUCCCGGUGUAGAGGUGAAAUUCGUAGAUAUCUGGAGGAACACCGGUGGCGAAGGCGGCGUUCUGGACUGUUUCUGACACUGAAAAACGAAAGCCAGGGGAGCAAACGGG
rnacentral:rRNA from 1 species